rnacentral:snRNA from 1 species
AUCCUACACAGAGAGUAAUAAGUUUGACCGUGAAGUCUCGACUGAGUCAACUUUUUUGCUGAUUGAAAACUAUUUCCUAACAUCUCCGUGGUCUCGCAAGAGGCAACGGGAAUUUUUGAAAAAACCCACU